UACGGAGGAUCCAAGCGUUAUCCGGAUUUAUUGGGUUUAAAGGGUGCGUAGGCGGCCUGGUAAGUCAGGGGUGAAAGACGGUAGCUUAACUAUCGCAGUGCCCUUGAUACUGCUGGGCUUGAAUGUAGUUGAGGUAGGCGGAAUGUGACAAGUAGCGGUGAAAUGCAUAGAUAUGUCACAGAACACCAAUUGCGAAGGCAGCUUACUAAAGUAUGAUUGACGCUGAGGCACGAAAGCGUGGGGAUCAAACAGG
rnacentral:rRNA from 1 species